rnacentral:lncRNA from 1 species
GCAGGGCCGAUUUAGUUUUCAUUCUGACUGUCACGCCCCGGGACCCAGCGGAAGCCCGCCCGGCGCGUGCCCAGACCCGCCAUAUGUCUACAACAUAUAAGGCGUCUAAAAACAACAAUAAUAAAAGCGAUAAUAGAAGACAUCUAGGAGUAUCAGAGCAUAAUAAAUGUCUAAAUGCUACAACAAGGGAUAAGGAUAAUACUGUAAAACCAUUAAAUGAAACAUAAAGUAAAUACAAUAGGAAAUCCCAAAUACAAGUGCUAUAAGUAGGUACAUAGGUGGUCUCUAUACAUGGAUACAAAACUCUCACACUCUCUCAAAAUACAAAAGAAAGAGUAA